rnacentral:rRNA from 1 species
UACAGAGGUGGCGAGCGUUAUUCGGAAUUAUUGGGCGUAAAGGGCGCGUAGGCGGCUUAGCAAGUCUUGGGUGAAAUCCCUCGGCUCAACCGAGGAACUGCCUUGGAAACUGUUAGGCUUGAGGCCGGGAGAGGGUAGUGGAAUUCCCAGUGUAGCGGUGAAAUGCGUAGAUACUGGGAGGAACACCGGUGGCGAAGGCGGCUACCUGGACCGGUUCUGACGCUGAGGCGCGAAAGCGUGGGGAGCAAACAGG